rnacentral:misc_RNA from 1 species
GAUGAAGAACGUAGUGAAAUGCGAUAAGUAAUGUGAAUUGCAGAAUUCAGUGAAUCAUCGAAUCUUUGAACGCACAUUGCGCCCGCCAGUAUUCUGGCGGGCAUGCCUGUUCGAGCGUCAUUUCAACCAUCAAGCCCCCGGCUUGUGUUGGGGACCUGCGGCUGCCGCAGGCCCUGAAAAGCAGUGGCGGGCUCGCUGUCACACCGAGCGUAGUAGCAUACAUCUCGCUCUGGGCGUGCUGCGGGUUCCGGCCGUUAAACCACCUUCAUAACCCAAGGUUGACCUCGGAUCAGGUAGGAAGACCCGCUGAACUUAAGCAUAUCAAUAAGGGAGGA